AGUGGGUUACGGGAGAAUUUGCUGACAGGAACAUUAUCUCCUGAUAUUUGCCAAUUGACUGGCCUAUGGUACUUUGAUGUGAGGGGCAAUAACAUCUCAGGAACCAUACUGGAUAACAUUGGGAAUUGUACAAGCUACGAAAUCCUGUAAGAUGGCUGGCAUUCCUUUUGAUGUGGGUGUUGUUCUUAUUCUUUCUUCAAUUGUUUAUGGUCUAUUGACUGUUAUGACUUCCAAGGAUAUUUCUUACAAUCAAAUCACUGGAGAGAUUCCUUACAACAUUAGUUUCCUACAAGUAGCUACAUUGUCUCUUUAGGGAAAUAGGCUUACUGGGAAGAUUCCAAAAGUGAUAGGACUCAUGCAAGCUCCUGCUGUUUUGUAAGUUUUGUACUGUCUUCCCAAAUUCUUUUCAUUUUUUUUUCAAAAUUUCUUUUCUUCCUAAAUAACUGCAUGCAUCUUUUAUUGUGCUAUGAAGAAAACAUUCCAGCGGGUGCCACUUUUGUAUUAGUAUUAACCUUCAAUGUCAGCUUUUCAUUAAACUAUCAUCAUUACCUUAAGCUUUCAUGUAGCAAUUUGGGUUGUGCUUUAAAUGGUUGGCAGAAGUCCUAUGAUAUAUCUGUUGACCAUACCACAUGCUCUCUCAUUUACCUGGCAUUGGAAUUGGCCAUGGGAGAGGUGAAU